rnacentral:rRNA from 1 species
CCGGGUUGCGGACAGUGUCUGGUGGGUAGUUUGACUGGGGCGGUCUCCUCCUAAAGAGUAACGGAGGAGCACGAAGGUUGGCUAAUCCUGGUCGGACAUCAGGAGGUUAGUGCAAUGGCAUAAGCCAGCUUGACUGCGAGCGUGACGGCGCGAGCAGGUGCGAAAGCAGGUCAUAGUGAUCCGGUGGUUCUGAAUGGAAGGGCCAUCGCUCAACGGAUAAAAGGUACUCCGGGGAUAACAGGCUGAUACCGCCCAAGAGUUCAUAUCGACGGCGGUGUUUGGCACCUCGAUGUCGGCUCAUCACAUCCUGGGGCUGAAGUAGGUCCCAAGGGUAUGGCUGUUCGCCAUUUAAAGUGGUACGCGAGCUGGGUUUAGAACGUCGUGAGACAGUUCGGUCCCUAUCUGCCGUGGGCGCUGGAGAAUUGAGGGGGGCUGCUCCUAGUACGAGAGGACCGGAGUGGACGCAUCACUGGUGUUCGGGUUGUCAUGCCAAUGGCACUGCCCGGUAGCUAAAUGCGGAAGAGAUAAGUGCUGAAAGCAUCUAAGCACGAAACUUGCCCCGAGAUGAGUUCUCCCUGACCCUUUAAGGGUCCUGAAGGAACGUUGAAGACGACGACGUUGAUAGGCCGGGUGUGUAAGCGCAGCGAUGCGUUGAGCUAACCGGUACUAAUGAACCGUGAGGCUUAACCUUACAACGCCGAAGGUGUUU